AUUGAACGCUGGCGGCAUGCCUAACACAUGCAAGUCGAACGAGUGGCGGACGGGUGAGUAAUGUCUGGGAAACUGCCUGAUGGAGGGGGAUAACUACUGGAAACGGUAGCUAAUACCGCAUACCAUCAGAUGUGCCCAGAUGGGAUUAGCUAGUGGGUGGGGUAACGGCUCACCAAGGCGACGAUCCCUAGCCGGGCUGAGAGGAUGACCAGCAACACGGGAACUGAGACACGGUCCAGACUCCUACGGGAGGCAGCAGUGGGGAAUAUUGCACAAUGGGCGCAAGCCUGAGGCAGCCAUGCCGCGGGUAUGAAGAAGGCUGUCGGGUUGUAAAGUACGUUCAGCGGGGAGGCGUUACCCGCAGAAGAAGCACCGGCUAACUCCGUGCCAGCAGCCGCGGUAAUUC
rnacentral:rRNA from 1 species